GACGAACGCUGGCGGCGUGCUUAACACAUGCAAGUCGAACGGAAAGGCCCUGCUUUUGUUGUGUUCUCGAGUGGCGAACGGGUGAGUAACACGUGAGUAACCUGCCCUUGACUUUCUGAUAACUUCAGGAAACUGGGGCUAAUACCGGAUAGGAUCUCCUGCUGCAUGGUGUGGGUUGGAAAGUUUCGGCGGUUGGGGAUGUACUCGCGGGUUAUCAGCUUGUUUGUGUAGUAGUUGCGUACCAAGGCUUUGACGGGUAGCCCGCCUGAGAGGGUUGACAGGCACAUUAGGCCUAAGAGACGGAGCAGUAGGGUAUGGGAGGCAGUGGUCGAGAGUAUUGCACAGUGAGCGGGAGUGUGAUGCAGCAAUGCCGGGAGCGGAAUGCUGGGUUUUGGGGUGAGAACAGAUUUGGCAGGAGACGAAGAGUGCGUGACGGUACUGGGUCAGGAAGCAACGGCUAACUACGUG
rnacentral:rRNA from 1 species